rnacentral:rRNA from 1 species
ACGGGGUGCAGCAGGCGCGAAAACUUUACAAUGCGGGAAACCGUGAUAAGGGAACACCGAGUGCCAGCAUCAUAUGCUGGCUGUCCAGAUGUGUAAACUACAUCUGUUAGCAAGGGCCGGGCAAGACCGGUGCCAGCCGCCGCGGUAACACCGGCGGCCCGAGUGGUGACCGUUAUUAUUGGGUCUAAAGGGUCCGUAGCCGGUUUGGUCAGUCCUCCGGGAAAUCUGAUAGCUCAACUAUUAGACUUUCGGGGGAUACUGCCAGGCUUGGAACCGGGAGAGGUAAGAGGUACUACAGGGGUAGGAGUGAAAUCUUGUAAUCCCUGUGAGACCACCUGUGGCGAAGGCGUCUUACCAGAACGGGUUCGACGGUGAGGGACGAAAGCUGGGGGCACGAACCGGAUUAGAUACCCGGGUAGUCCCAGCCGUAAACUAUGCUCGCUAGGUGUCAGGCAUGGCGCGACCGUGUCUGGUGCCGCAGGGAAGCCGCGAAGCGAGCCACCUGGGAAGUACGGCCGCAAGGCUGAAACUUAAAGGAAUUGGCGGGGGAGCAC